rnacentral:rRNA from 1 species
AUUGAACGCUGGCGGCAUGCUUUACACAUGCAAGUCGAACGGUAACAGGUCUUCAGAUGCUGACGAGUGGCGAACGGGUGAGUAAUACAUCGGAACGUGCCUAGUAGUGGGGGAUAACUACUCGAAAGAGUAGCUAAUACCGCAUGAGAUCUACGGAUGAAAGCAGGGGACCUUCGGGCCUUGUGCUACUAGAGCGGCUGAUGGCAGAUUAGGUAGUUGGUGGGGUAAAGGCUUACCAAGCCUGCGAUCUGUAGCUGGUCUGAGAGGACGACCAGCCACACUGGGACUGAGACACGGCCCAGACUCCUACGGGAGGCAGCAGUGGGGAAUUUUGGACAAUGGGCGAAAGCCUGAUCCAGCAAUGCCGCGUGCAGGAUGAAGGCCCUCGGGUUGUAAACUGCUUUUGUACGGAACGAAAAGCCUGGGGCUAAUAUCCCCGGGUCAUGACGGUACCGUAAGAAUAAGCACCGGCUAACUACGUGCCAGCAGCCGCGGUAAUACGUAGGGUGCAAGCGUUAAUCGGAAUUACUGGGCGUAAAGCGUGCGCAGGCGGUUUUGUAAGACAGUGGUGAAAUCCCCGGGCUCAACCUGGGAACUGCCAUUGUGACUGCAAGGCUAGAGUGCGGCAGAGGGGGAUGGAAUUCCGCGUGUAGCAGUAAAAUGCGUAGAUAUGCGGAGGAACACCGAUGGCGAAGGCAAUCCCCUGGGCCUGCACUGACGCUCAUGCACGAAAGCGUGGGGAGCAAACAGG